rnacentral:rRNA from 1 species
UACGAAGGGUGCUAGCGUUGUUCGGAAUUACUGGGCGUAAAGCGCGCGUAGGCGGCGAUACAAGUCAGGGGUGAAAUCCCACAGCUCAACUGUGGAAUUGCCUUUGAAACUGUAUUGCUUGAGUGUCGGAGGGGAUAGCGGAAUUGCUAAUGUAGAGGUGAAAUUCGUAGAUAUUAGCAGGAACACCGGUGGCGAAGGCGGCUAUCUGGACGACAACUGACGCUGAGGCGCGAAAGCGUGGGGAUCAAACAGG